UUUAAUAAGCUUAUUGAUAUCGAAGCGAUUCUACGUACAUUUUUCUGAAUAUAGUUUAAGUUCAGAAAUGAACGAGAAGAAUCACUAUUUGGUAUUUAUAAACAUAUUUAUUUUAAAUGUGUAUAAAUGUAAAACAUUUGCGCAUGGAUAUAAUUCUACCUAAUGGCGACAGCUAACGAAUGUAUUUUGUUCUGUUCAAAUAUUUUCUACAAGUGCUGAGUGGAUAUUUCAACAGAGGCAGGCACAGAUUGCUAUUGGUGGAUGCAUACGAGUUCCAUCAUGGCAGAACCAACAUAUCUGUGAGGCGUGAAAGGCAGGCACAGAUUGCUAUUGGUGGAUGCAUACGAGUUCCAUCAUGGCAGAACCAACAUAUCUGUGAGGCGUGAAAGGUUAGUCUCAGACAGCUUGUGGGUCACAACCAUCGUUUCGUCUGGACACUGAUUGAUAGUUUACGGCAAAAGCAUGCCAUGGCAGCCACAUGUGUUCUGAAGAAUGGGAGAAGGCAAUACUCGAAACAACUCAAAGUUAAAGUGACAGACCCUAGUUUUUAAACACUACGACGUAUUUUUCACUAUUGAAGCUGUUUUUGAUCAUUUAAAUUAGAAGUACUUACAUUUUAUUAUUUAGAAUAUUAAUUUUCGUACACCUAAAGUAGUUCUGGUCAUCAAGGCUUUUGUAAUACUCCAAAAUGCAUUUUUUAUAAUUCUAAAAACGCACGUUCGUCUGAGAAGUAAUGGUUAUCGAGAAAAGUUGUAAAUAUUAUUUUAGAUGGUAUGUCCCCAUUAAACAUCACAGACUUUAUCUUUUUUUUCUGUUAUAACCUUAUUCAGAUAUGUUAUAUGUAAGUAGAUUAACUAAACUUAGUGUUCAUUUUGGCGGAUUGAAACGAGGGCCUGCGCCUUUAAGAGAAAAACUCGGUAACUUUAGAGACGCCUUCGGAAUUUAGAGUUUGGAGAUGAUGAUAAAAUAGUUUCAGUUUUCUUUCUGGAAAGGUAUUCAAAUGUGACUAAUUUUAAGCACGUUUCGUAAAUACGACAAAAAAAAACCCAAGUCAGGUCAGGUUAGGUCAGAGAGUUUAACGUGCACAUUCAGAGCAUAUCCUGGGCACAGAUGUCGACCUCAGCCGGCUCCUCCGUCCAGGACAGGAAAAACACCAAGGCCAAAGUAAAUAAUUAUAUAUAUGUCCUCUUCGAAAUUAGUUGGUUGAGUAUACUGGGUUUUUGGUCCAGUAAGCAUUGCUCUGUACCCAUAUUCUACCGUCAUAGCCAUGAAGCACAUAACACAGAUUCUGUGUUAUGGUCAGGGUUUCCCGAACUCAUGAUUCUAAUCUAGAUGAAGUUUUUGACAAAGAGUGUCUGGUCAUUCUAGAAUUCUCUCCCCACUGCAUCAUCAAGCGUUUGUGAUACGAUUAAAUUCCACUAGAUACUGCUUUCUUCCAUGAAGUCACAUCCCAAUUAAUAGUUUGUGCGAAUUCAUGUACAUGUUCUAUUCUGUCAUGGAAUGCUACACAUGCAUUACGAAUCAUAAAAUCGCAACAUAAUUUUACACUUUGCCCCAAGAGACAGAUUUACCCCAGCGGGCAGAAUACUCCCAUGGGCAAAUAUGUGGCAUAUAAAUGAGGCUUUAGUUAACUUUUGCAACUCCCGAGCAGAUCGAAAACCUUCUUCAUACAAUUCUAGAAGAUAAUGUUUGCUUACUAUGGAUAUUGUCAAGGUCAUAAACAUCAGUCAGAAAUUCACAUAGCAUGGUUAUCAAGGGGAGAUAACUACUGUAUCAACUUUGUGACUAUUGCCAAAAAAAACCCCACUCAAGUCUAAACUAAAAAUUAAACGCCACGAGAUCGAAAUAAUCUGAAUUAUAAUGUGUCAUUUGUUCUGUACUACCGUAUAUUAUAUACACAUGCACGCACGUACACACGCACGCACGUACGCACGCAUGCAUACAUACAUUAUCAUGCACGUAAGCAGGAUCGACCGCAUGUGGUUGACUUAAACAGCAUCUUUUUAUGGAUGUCUGGAUAGCUCAGAACGCAUUGUGGUUAGUCAGCAAUUUGCGGGCGAUUCGAUGCCAUAGGUUAGAGUCCCAGCAACGGCAUGGAGC
rnacentral:lncRNA from 1 species